CGUUGGCGGCGUGGAUUAGGCAUGCAAGUCGUACGCAUAGCUUCGGCUAUGAGUGGCGCAAGGGUGAGUAAUGCGAAGGUAACCAACCCUGGUGUUGGGCAUAGCCGCGGGAAACUGCGGGUAAUUCCCAGCGACGUCACGAGAUGGCAUCAUCUUGUGACCAAAGGUGUGAUUCCGCUCUAGGACGGGGCCUUCGUGGUAUUAGGUAGUUGGUGAGGUAAACGGCUCACCAAGCCGACGAUGCCUACCGGGUGUGAGAGCAUGACCCGGCACACUGGAACUGAGACACUGUCCAGACACCUACGGGUGGCUGCAGUCGAGAAUCUUCGGCAAUGGGCGAAAGCCUGACCGAGCGACGCCGCGUGAGGGAUUGAAGGCCUUCGGGUUGUAAACCUCUUUCGUAGAGGAGGAAGGGGCCGUGAAGAACGGUCUUUGACCUAUUCUAGGAAGAAGCUUGGGCUAAGUUCGUGCCAGCAGCCGCGGUAAGACGAACCAAGCGAACGUUAUUCGGAAUUACUGGGC
rnacentral:rRNA from 1 species